UCUCCCCUUCCUCCCAAUUUCCCAAAGACUUUGGUGCAGGGAGGGAGGGCGACAGAUUGGUUUGGUAGCAGUUGAGUUGCUGAAUUCUUUCUUCUAUCUAGCUCUAGCUCCCAUCGGUAUCGGGCUCCUCCAUUUUCCGGCGGCGGCGGCGGCCAUGUCGUCUGCGGCUCAUCCGCAGCGCUUCUACUGCCAUCAGUGCGAACGCAACGUCCCCAUCGCCCCGCCCACCUCCCCCGACGCCGACGUCCUCUGCCCGCUCUGCGGUGGAGGAUUCGUCGAGGAGGCGGGGCUUGGGGAGGGCACUAACCCUAGCCCACACCCUGCCGCCUUCCUGCCACACCCCUUCUUCCCCUUUGCCUCCCCUUCCUUCGAUCUCCGCCACCCUAGCGACCUCAACGCCUUCUUCGGCCCCCCCUCCCCCGCGCCCGCGCCCGCACCUUCGGCAUCCACCCACUUCGACCCCUCCAACUUCCUCCAUGACCAUUUCACCGGCCUCCUCUCUGGCGGCGCCACCAUCCAGAUCGUCCUCGAGGGCUCCUCCGCUUCCUUCCCCGGUGCCUCCUCCGGGAUCAGCCUCGGCGACUACUUUGUCGGCUCCGGCCUCGAGCAGCUCAUCCAGCAGCUCGCUGAGAACGAUCCCAACCGCUACGGCACCCCUCCUGCCGCCAAGUCCGCUGUCGCCGCACUCCCUGACGUCGCCGUCUCCGCCGACAUGAUGGCCGCCGAUGGAGGGGCCCAGUGCGCCGUCUGCAUGGACGACUUCCACCUUGGCGCUGAUGCCAAGCAGCUCCCCUGCAAACAUGUCUUCCACAAGGAUUGCAUCCUCCCCUGGCUCGACCUGCACAGCUCCUGCCCCGUUUGCCGCUUUGAGCUGCCCACAGAUGACCCUGACCACGGCCACCGCCGGGGAUCUGACCAGCCCACCGCAGCAGCAGCAGCAGCAGCAGCUGUUGCUGCCUCUGCCUCUGGAGCGCCGACCAGCGCCACCCCUUCGCCCAGGGUGGCAGAGAGAAGGUUCAGGAUAUCGCUGCCAUGGCCUCUCCGGGCUGCGUUUGGUGGCCAGGCGGAGAGCAGCAAUCCUACCAACCAGGAUCCUGUUGGUGGCUCUGGCUCUGGCUCUGGUGCUGGCAACAACAAUGCGACUGACAGUCAUCAUGGCUACGAUGAUCUGGACUGAAUAGCUUCCGAGAAAGAGGGAAUGAGGAGGAUAUGUUUCAUAAUGCCAUCUGUUGCUCCAUAUGUUUACUUCUGCUGUGCUGCUUGCUGAUAUCAAGUUCAGAAACAGAAACUUCUGCCUCGUAUUGUACUGCUGCCCUUUCCACUUUGUUGAUUAUUUAGUGCAUUAUACAAAACACCCAGUCACUGAGGGAUCUAGUUAGCCUGAAGCUUUUUCCAUCCUUGUGAGGGACAAGGGACAUUGUUUGGAGAAGAGGUGCGACGCAGCAAAUGAAGCUAGCUUAUUCUGUGCUGUUCACUCACCUCAAUGACCGGAAGAAAUGUUGGAAAUUUUUUUACCUUAUAUUAGCGUGGCAUGGAUUUACCUUUGCUAGUUUUGGGUCCUCUGGUGGUGUAGAGAAAAUUUUCAAUGGGGCCUUCCCAAGGACAAACUGGUGGAGUGGUGGUGAAAAAAAAAAGAGAAAAAGAUGGUGUGAGUACGUUACAUUUUAAGUAUAUAUACAUUAACUACUCCCUAAUCCUCUCACAGAACGCAACGACCUUGAGGGUCGCGCAGAAUCCCAAA